AAAUCUACUGGAAGAGAAAGCAGGUAAAAAUCGUAAACCUUGCUCUCACUACAAACUAAACAUCAGGGCGACUGUGUGACUGACACUGAGUUGCCUUGGGAAGAUAAUUCACUUCAAACAGUCUCACUUACCCUCUGAACAAAGGUAACUUAGGAAGUUCUGGCUCAGUGUGUGUUACUAUGACAUCAUUCUGGGGAACGCAGGGAACACCUAGGGCUCACUUCGGCAGCUCAAACACUGAAGUAGGAAAACAUGGAAAGACACGAAGAGGAGAAAAGAGAGAGCUACAUUACGUGGAUGUAAUACAGAAAUGGAACUUUCUGAAUAUGAUGUCAUAAUGUCUGUACAUUAUCCGUUUUACAACUAGCCUGAGACUUCUUCAUCAGCUAUGCGCUGCAGAACAGCAAAGCAAAAAUCUGAACUCAAUCAAAGCUGAAAACUCUAAUCUUAGUAGAGGUGGAUAAAAUAUAGUCCACUUGUUAUAUAUUAUAUUUACUAUUUCUUUUAGCACUAAAAUAAAGCUUAAGUUACAUGUGUGUUUUCAAAUGUUCUAUCAGGAGGGCAAUUCAAGGAGUUCAGUUAUGGAUAAUCCAUUUUU
rnacentral:lncRNA from 1 species